GUAUAAGAGACAGCAGUCGCCGCGGGAAAACGGAGGGGGCUAGCGUUGUUCGGAAUUACUGGGCGUAAAGCGCACGUAGGCGGCUUGGUAAGUUAGAGGUGAAAGCCCGGAGCUCAACUCCGGAAUUGCCUUUAAGACUGCCGAGCUAGUAGGUGAGAGAGGUAAGUGGAAUUCCGAGUGUAGAGGUGAAAUUCGUAGAUAUUCGGAAGAACACCAGUGGCGAAGGCGGCUUACUGGCUCAUUCUAGACGCUGAGGUGCGAAAGCGUGGGGAGCAAACAGGAUUAGAUACCCGCGUAGUCCCUGUCUCUUAUCA
rnacentral:rRNA from 1 species